ACAGGCUUAUCUCCCCCAAGAGUUCACAUCGACGGGGAGGUUUGGCACCUCGAUGUCGGCUCAUCGCAUCCUGGGGCUGUAGUCGGUCCCAAGGGUUGGGCUGUUCGCCCAUUAAAGCGGUACGCGAGCUGGGUUCAGAACGUCGUGAGACAGUUCGGUCCCUAUCCGUCGUGGGCGUAGGAAAUUUGAGAGGAGCUGUCCUUAGUACGAGAGGACCGGGAUGGACAUACCUCUGGUGUACCAGUUGUCGUGCCAACGGCAUAGCUGGGUAGCUAUGUGUGGACGGGAUAAGUGCUGAAAGCAUCUAAGCAUGAAGCCCCCCUCAAGAUGAGAUUUCCCAACUUCGGUUAUAAGAUCCCUCAAAGAUGAUGAGGUUAAUAGGUUCGAGGUGGAAGCAUGGUGACAUGUGGAGCUGACGAAUACUAAUCGAUCGAAGACUUAAUCAA
rnacentral:rRNA from 1 species